AAGCCUUCUCUUUAAAUAUAACUCCUUAGUUAGCUCAGUUUGAGCAAAACGUUUCUUCGAAAUCGAAGCAAAAACAGAGAUCGUCUAUAUUGACAAUGGUGUCGACGGCGAAGGCACCGGCGAACAGUACGACGGUGGCUGGCGUCGGCGAUACGUCUCUGGUGGAGGCUCUGCCUCAGGAUAUUCUGAUUAGGGUUAUUUGCAAUGUGGAACAUGAUGAUUUGAAACAGCUAAUCCGCGUUUCCAAAACAAUUAGCGAAGCGACUUUGAUUGCAAAACAAUUUCAUUUUUCUUAUUGCACUCCAUCCUCAAAGAAAUUCGUCAACUCCAUCGAUUUAAAAAAUGCUCCUUCCAGAAGGCGAUUCAGAACUCGAUUACACAGAAAGUUGCUGGCGCAGAUUUCGGUAGCCUUAUUUGCCGAAGAAGAUUAGUGGCCACUGAGACAGAUGUGAAUUUAACAACCUGUAUUUAGAUAUUUAGAACAACUGCGCAACAACCCUUAGAAGUAAAUAUCUUAUAGUAGAUAUACUGAUAAUUGUUUGAUCUCUUUUCACUCUUGCUAAUCAGAUAUAAGAAAGGCCAGGAUGUGGCAUUUGUAACUACUUGCAGUCUGCAAAUAUAAUGUCCUCUCCUUCACUUUGAGGAUCUCACAGUUAUACUGUCAACACUUCUCCCAGUUGUGUGCAUUAAUAAAGAAAGCAAAGAGUCUUAUCUCUCAACAGGAUUAAAGGUAUGACCCGCAACUAUGCACGUUUUCUUGACCAAAAAUAUAUUUUCAUUGAGAAAUGAACACAAAUAAAGGUUCAGGAUUCAAACUCUCAAGGGUGAGAAAAAAAAAAAAAAAACAAACAACUAGCUCAACAAGGAGAAAAACAACCAGAUUAAUUAAGAAUGAACAUGAAGAAAACCAGAUUCAACCACAACAACAACAACAACAACACAAAAAAAAAGAGAGAUAGAGAGAACAGGAAGAGGGUGGAUAACGGACUACGUUUUCCUGUUUUUGGAAUGUUGUAAUUUAAAUUAUAAGACUUCACUUUCUAUUGACUGGGGAAUAGUGUAGUUUAAUGCAAAUGUACAUUUGCAUAACAAUUAUUUCUAUAUUAGCUUGAGAGUAUGUAUAUUAGGUGCUAUACUUUUGAAACUUUUUGAGUUUUAAUAAGUCCUUUUAUUUCUCUCUUUACAUACUCAGAAAUGCAGAUUAAAAGAAGAGCCUUUAACUUUUGGUGCUCUUUGUGUUCUGAAGCACCUCUUGCCAAGGUUUUUUGGCCUGCUUAUAUUUAACCAACCAUUUAGUUAUUCCUUUUGGUUCCUGAUUUGACUUUCUUAUAAUAUCUAGGUCAUCCGAGGCCUGGCAAUGGUAAAAGGCCUUUAGUUACUGAAGCUGUUAAGUCGUUACUAGACGAACAAAAUCUAGGGGUUAGAAUGACACUUUCAGAGCUAUGAUGUUACACACAUUUUUUUAUCUUGUUAAGAACUUGAGAAAUGCUCUAUUUUAUUUGGUACUAAAAAUGUCUGUUACUUUGUUGUUGAUUGUGGUAAUGGCAUCACAUUUCUACCUGGUUGGUUCAUCUGGAGAGAUGUUUGUUGAGUAUCUCGUGCGCCACUUUGCCAUCAAAAUUGAUAGAAAUAGAAAUGAUCCUGGAAGCUCAAAGGAGUUAGCUGGGUUGAAUAGUGCUUUUAUUCCUUUACAGUACAAGAGAAUGGAGGUUUCUGUCCUUUCAAAAUAUUCAUUUUGGUUCUCGUACUUUCAAAAUAUUCAUUUUGGUUAUGAAUUUAUAACUUUAGUUAAUAUUGGUCCUGUACUUUGAAGAAAUGACCAUUUGGCCCCUUUAGUUGCAUGAGAUGUUACCUUUAUUUAUCUGAUGUUUUCACUACAGUCACUGUUCUUUGAUUUGCUAUGAUAGUCUUGAAUAUCACAUUAGAGAAGAGCUAAAUAGAACAGCUGCUGCACGAACAAUGGUUGGAAAAAUUAAUCAAUAUUGGAUCUCGAUGCCAAGUAAUGUUGCCUGAAGCUCAAGCAGAUGAGGCAUCGGGGCCUUUGAUAAGCUGCCCAACAAUUCAGCAAGAAGCAUUUUAUCUUAUCAAAUCAUAUUAUGGUGUUUUACAGGAGGAGAAGGGUUAAAAAUUUCCUUGUGAUUUGUUUUGAGGAGUUCAAAUUGUUGGUUUAUUUUCUUUCUGGAUGGCUUGUGGUGUAUUAUUUUUUGCCUAAAUGACUUGUGUUUCCUUCCUUGAUAUUGUGCACUUGGUUUUGAAAAACUUUCUUUAGCAAUACUUGUACAUGGAAGUAUUAGACUCCUAUUUUUCCUGCUUCGUUGGGUAUUUUCUGUGUGCUACUUGGAUAAUCUAAUAGUCAUCUCACGUAAAUUAUUAACGGAUCAUGGGUCAGUUUGUGGUUUAUUAAGUUCAUGACGUUUUUAUUUUUUGCAUCUAUAGGUAAUGAAGAAAUAUUAUUGAGAAUGUGUGCCAGCAAGAUCAAUUUUAAUUUUUUUUUUAAAUUUUUUCAAUAAAUAAACCAUGACAGACAUUUAAUGUCGAUUAUUGAUCAACUUCAAAGAUGGACCAACAUCGAAAAAGAUGUCACUAAAGGUUUUCGAUGUUGGUUUUCAACUGGGCUAUAAUGUCCGUUAAAAUCUGACAUUAAAGAGCUUUAAUAACACUUUCUUUAAUGUUGCUUGGCCUAUAAUGUCGGUCUUCAUCUGACAUAAUGGCCCAGUUUUGUAAUAGUGGGCAAAAUCUUUUAACAAUUUGUAAGACCCUAGUCUUAAGAAUUGUUGAAAUUAGGGUUUUGCACUCUAGGGGCAUUUUUGUCUUUUUUAUUAUACCCUAGGGUUUCUCUUUUCUCUAUUUAAGCUGGUGGUCUGUUGUAUUUCUUUGUAACAGUUUUCUAACAAGAAUUCCUUUAUCCCGUGGUUUUUCUCUUUAAUUAAGGUUUUCCACGUAAAAUCUUGGUGUGUUAUUUUUCUUUCCCUACUCUAUUUUUCAUCAUGGUAUCAGAGCAUGGAGACGAAACCCUGGCCACCAUUGAGGAAAAUCCAAUAAGAGAAUCUCAAACCAAUAAUCCAGAUAUAACCAGUAUUAUCCAAAAAGCCAUUGAUAGGUACUUCUAAUCUCUUCUUCCCCACUUUCGUGAAGACUAGCCGCCGUCGCCCUACCAACUGCCGACCGACUCCUUCGAAGACGGAACUACCAACGACAGCAACCAGCGACCAACGACCCUGCAGCUACUCAUCUGAUUCGGUCGCGCUCAGACGAAGAUGACCAGCGACCGGUCGAACGAAGCCGAGAUCUAUCCGGUCGCUCUCAGACACAGUCGAACGAAGCCGACCAGUCCAGAUAUGCGAUGCCCAGCGUUGACCAGUCCAAAUCUGUGAUGCCCACCAUCGACCAGUCCGUGCUCAACAGUUCCCAUCUGUUGCCAUUGCCGUCGUUCUUCUCCUCUCAGAUCGGUGUCUCAUCUCAGCCAAUGCCACACCAAAAGACAGAUGGAAGAAGUGUGGGUGUUUUUCAACCUAGUAUGAGCAACCGAAUGAGGUAGUUUUCGCCGACCAUGGGUGAGUUUGGAGGGGGAGAUUCUUCAUCAUACGACCAGGAGCAAGGAAGUAUAAUCCCCAAGACCAAGUUACCUAGUUGUAGUUGCAGAUUAAACGACAGAACGAGAUGUUUCAGUAGCAGCUAGCUGCUAUUGGGGAAGCCCUAGGAUCGACAUCCAAGAUCCAACCAGAUCUAAACCCAUAUCCUGAAAACUCUAACUUCGUUCCCUACUUACCCCUCAAAUUUAUUUCUGGAGCUAUAGGCAAUUCUUCUAGCUUUAUUAUAGGAGAAAAGUUGAAUGGUGAUAAUUAUUUUUCUUGGUCCCAAUCUAUUAAAAUGGCCCUUGAGGGCCAUCACAAAUUUGGAUACCUGACAGGUGAAAUACCAAAACCAAGGAUCGGUGAUCCCCAAGAGCGAAUGUGGAAAGGAGAGGAUUCUUUGUUGAGAUCGAUUUUGAUUAGAAGUACGGAACCUCAGGUUGGAAAACCUUUAUUGUAUACAGCUACAACUCGUGAUAUUUAGGAGGCAGCCCAAAAACUCUACUCCAGGAGACAGAAGGCCUCUCAUUUAUAUACUCUAUGUAAGCAGGUCCACGAAUGCAAACAGGGAACAAUGGACGUUACUGCUUACCUUAACAAGUUGUCUCUCUUGUGGUAAGAGAUGGAUUUGUGUCGGGAAAUGAUUUGGAACUGUCCUUAUGAAGGAGUGUUACAUUAUCAGUCUGAAGAAACAGAUCGCGUGUAUGACUUUCUUGCAAGACUCAACUCUAAAUUUGAUACAGUGCGAAGUCGUAUAUUGGGGACCAGACCUAAACCAUCCCUAAUGGAAGUCUGUUCUGAAGUUUGCCUGGAGGAAGAUAGGUCGAGGGUCAUGAACAGUACACCUGUAACACCAUCAGAUUUCGCUGCUUUCAAAACUUUAGGCCUUGUCCAAGAUAAAUAGAACAGUAAGUCGCCCUCAGUGUGUGAACAUUACAAAAAAACCCGGCACACGAAAGAUCAGUACUGGAAACUUCAUGGCCGACCGCCAAAUGGUAAGAAACGACAGCCAAGCCAGGCUCUUGUAGGUGAAUCUGUUACUGGAGAUACUUAACCUCAAAAUCAGGAAACCACUCAGAGCACUACUACUACAGUGGGUGUAAGUGCAAUCGCCCAUUCAGGAUCUGAGCUCGGGGAUGACGAUUGACACUGCCCCGCAUGACAGGGGAUUUCUUUCUGACAAAUAAAUCAAAAGUUACUUCAGUUUUCCAACAAUUUUACAAUUCUAUAGAAACCCAGUUCAACGCCAAAAUCUUUAUUCUCUGGAGUGAUAAUGGUCGAGAGUACCUUAGUAACACCUUACACGAAGUCCUAGUCUCCAAAGGUGUUGUCCAUCAGAGUUCCUGUGCGUACACUCAACAAAAUGAAAUGGUCGAAUGGAAAACCCGUCACCUUGUUGAAGUUGCCCGAUCACUUAUGUUGUCAACUUCACUUCCUUCUUAUAUGUGGGGUGAUGCUAUCUUGAUAGCAGCCCAUUUAAUAAACCGCAUGCCAUCUCGGGUCCUAAAAUUCCAAACCCCCUUAGAUUUCUUCAAAGAGUCUUACCCAAACUCCAGACUUCUUGCUGAUGUACCCCUUCGUGUUUUUGGCUGUGUGGUGUUCGUCCAUACAAACGGACCUAACCGUACCAAGUUUACCUCUCGAGCACAAAAAUGCGUUUUUGUAGGAUACCCUCUACAUCAACGUGGGUACAAGUGUUGUCAUCCUCCUUCCAGAAAAUACUUUGUCUCUAUGGAUGUGACAUUCUUUGAAGAUCAUCCAUUCUUUCCCAAUGGUUCUCUUCAGGGGGAGCAUUUUAGUGAAGAAACCAAUUGGGGUCCCAGCCUUUCUACCUUACAUGAACCUGAACCCAUCCUUGAUGUCAGUAUCAGUACCAAUGCACCUAUCCUCCCAACCAAAUAAGUCCCUUGGAUCACAUACUUUAGGAAGAAUCUCAGGAAGGAAAUAGCGUCGUCUUUUAUUUCUCCAGCUCCAGUUCAUGAGUCUGAACAGAGAUCAAUUCCAGGUACUAGUAGUCCUAUCCCUGAUCAUGAUAAUAAAUGUGAUAAAACUGAUGCUUGUGUUGAAAAUGUUGAGAGAAAAAGCAAGGAAGAUAAUGACAGCAAAGAUGUGAUUGAGGUCGAUGAUGGUGCAGAGACAGAUGAUUGUGUGACUCUUGAGAACAUGGUAGAACCUGGAAAAGAAGCGUUUCUUAUUCCUGCUGAAAAAAUUGUUGAGAGUGGGAAAAUAACAGAACCGGAGGGUGAAUGUAGUAUGUUAGAAGAAAGUAAAGACAGAGAUGAAUCUCUUGAUCUUCCGCUUGCCCUAAGGAAAGGUACUAGAUCAUGUACUAAAUAUCCGUUGCAGAGUUACUUGUCCUAUAGUAAUUUGUAUCCUGAGUUCAAAGCCCUCACUACAAAGCUAGACAUAGUGGUGAUACCAAACAAUAUACACACAGCGUUGGAAAGUCCUGAAUGGAAAGUCGUAGUUAUGGAAGAAAUGAGAGCUCUCGAGAAAAAUCAUACGUAGGAUCAAGUCAAUCUUCCAAGUGGUCAUAAAGCAGUCGGAUGUAAAUGGGUGUUCACAAUAAAGUAUAGGCCCGAUGGAACAGUUGACAGAUACAAAGCCAGAUUAGUUCCAGGUGAUGGACGCAUGCGACCGUAAUGCUGUGAACUUAAUGCUUUUUUAACGCAAUCUAGUACAUUUUUAUCAAUGCAAAUCUGCAUAGUUUAAUAACUUAGCAUUGUAAUAAC